ACGAAGAAAUGACGUCAGUGCACGCUCCAUGCGAGCACGGAUGCCGCUCGAGAGGUUGGACUGGAUGCCCUUUGCCUACACGCACAUCAAGGCCUAACUUGCUUACAAGUUCUCGAGGGCUUUUCUGAUGAGUUCCAGGAAAAAAUCGCGCAAGCACCACAAGGGAGCAGUGGCUUUCAAAAACGUGCCUGAUGAACCAGCGCCAGUGAUGUCCAAAGAAGAGGAAGAGAGGCACCGGCGGUUCGAAAUAAUGCGCAAGAAUCACUACCAGGGUGAGUUCAAGAAGAGAGACACGGCGCCUGUGCCCGAUGAUGAUGACGACGAUACUACCACUUCGGUUUCCGGAAUGAAAACCAAGUAGCACUUUCCGAAGCACGCUCCAGCUCGACCGACAUCACCAGUCCCCGGAUUCUUUUUAGCCCUUCUUUCACGUUCCCCUUAUAAUGGACUGUGUGCCUGUGACACUGUGUGCCUUUGUCUUAUAACGAAGAAAAAUGUGUAGCGUCUUCUACCUGUCCGGUUUAUUCCCGAGACUUGUGGCCGGUUUUUCGAGUUUGUUUCGUUAGCACAGUGGUCAUGUGUGCUUAGCAACAUAUGGACGAGCGUCGUUGUGUGAUUAAAAGGCGUUUCCAUUGUGA